rnacentral:rRNA from 1 species
ACGAACGCUGGCGGCGUGCUUAACACCUGCAAGUCGAACGGAAAGGCCCUGCUUUUGUGGGGUGCUCGAGUGGCGAACGGGUGAGUAACACGUGAGUAACCUGCCCUUUACUUUGGGAUAACUUCAGGGAACUGGGGCUAAUACCGGAUAGGAGCUCCUGCUGCAUGGUGGGGGUUGGAAAGUUUCGGCGGUUGGGGAUGGACUCGCGGCUUAUCAGCUUGUUGGUGGGGUAGUGGCUUACCAAGGCUUUGACGGGUAGCCGGCCUGAGAGGGUGACCGGCCACAUUGGGACUGAGAUACGGCCCAGACUCCUACGGGAGGCAGCAGUGGGGAAUAUUGCACAAUGGGCGGAAGCCUGAUGCAGCAACGCCGCGUGCGGGAUGACGGCCUUCGGGUUGUAAACCGCUUUCGCCUGUGACGAAGCGUGAGUGACGGUAAUGGGUAAAGAAGCACCGGCUAACUACGUG